rnacentral:rRNA from 1 species
GGAAUCUUCCACAAUGGGCGAAAGCCUGAUGGAGCAACGCCGCGUGUGUGAUGAAGGGUUUCGGCUCGUAAAACACUGUUGUAAGAGAAGAAUGACAUUGAGAGCAACUGUUCAAUGUGUGACGGUAUCUUACCAGAAAGGAACGGCUAAAUACGUGCCAC